GUACUGCUGAGGAGUCCCAAACUAGGAGAGGAAACAAUUGUCCAGUAC
rnacentral:hammerhead_ribozyme from 1 species